rnacentral:lncRNA from 10 species
AGCCGAGAUUGCGCCACUGCACUCCAGCCUGGGUGACAGAGUGAGACUCUGUCUGUGUGUUAGGAAUGAGAAAUUACUAAGUUUUUUCAAGAUUUUACCCAUUUUGUGUACAGAGAAAUAAGCUUUUAAUGGCGCAAUGUUGCAUAUACGGGUAACUUGUUCUUUGAGAAAUAUAAACUCAAACUCACAAGUUGUCAUGAUAACAUAUGCAGUAAUAUGACCAUUCUACAACAGAGUCACCCACAGGUAAAACACAUGACUGGGCUUUGAGCUCACACCAAUUUACACAGCAUACAGUUGUGCUACAAGGAGAAUUUCUUCAUCAUUUAUUCUUUAGUUAAUUGAAACAUAGUCAGGAAAAAAUGGUGCCAAUUCCCCCCAAACAACACAUGGAUGUUUUUGCUUCUUGACCCACUUAGAGUCCCAAAAGGACAAAAAAUACAUGGACCAAUAUUAGUUCACGAAACAUGUUUUAAAGAACAGAGAAUGAGGUCUUCAUCCCACCUCAGUAAGGCUUGGGCUGAUGAAGAGAGGGUGUAUUCAGGGUCCUCUCUUGUCAUAUGUACAAGCUGACGCUUGUUUCCCAAGCAUGAUAGUAGUGGGUAGACUGCCUUUAUUGUUAGCCCCUAAUAGAAUCAGUCAGCACAAUGAAGAAAUUCCAAAGAGGGCAGUGAAGUGACAACAGCUUCAGCUCGUCAUCGAUGUUAUACAGAAACACAAAAGGAAUCCCCGGCCUGUGAUGAAGGAGAGGCCGUUGCUGUGUGUUCAGGACACCUCAGAGCAGGCACAUAAAGUGCUGGAGGGUGACACAGCCUGUCUGGAUGUCCUCGGGAGGGUGUGCCAUCCAGGAGGCGACACCCCCAUCCAGCACACGGGCCCUUCCACCCGCUGUCGGUCCUGCUAAAGGUACGAGGCUAAAACCGGCCUCUCCAGAAAAGAACGCUCAGUGUGUGCUGACCACACUUCCCUUUGAAUUUCCCGAGUAUUCAACAGGAGAUACAUUUUAACAAGAAAAAAUACCCCUAACAAACAGGACAGAUGACUCUCUCAACAAGAGAGCAACUACGAACAUGAUACAAAUUUAAAUAAAAAUGUUUAGUUCAACGUGUUCGUCAUGGAGUUUCAAAUCAGCAGAUGCCAUGACAGGAAAGGAGCACACAGCUGGGCCCUUGCCCGCCGUGGGUUUCCCGUGUCCGCGGCUUCUUCAAGGAGGGGAGAGCAGCUUCUCUCUUGGAGCGUUCUCAGUUUCUCAACAGAUCUUCACUUGCUAGGCAGCCAGAAGCAUUAGUUCACCCAAGAGUGAGUGCUUGGGUACACAAGGCAGAAUCUUUUGGGAGCUGAGAGCCGGAGAGGAAGAAAGAAGGAACAAAGGUACUUCUCCAGGGUCAGCCGUUUCUGAGGGCAAAGGCAGAGCCCACGAGGUAACCCUGGGAAAUGGGCCCAUGAGUCUAAAGGUUGGAGUGUGGGGGUGGUGGGGGAUCCCCCACCUGGGUCUGGACUGCAUGAGGAAGACUCCCUUUUUUUUUUUUUCAAAGUAGACCUCUGUCUUGGAUUACUAUGUACCUGGACAGGUGAACUCUUGUAUGUUUCUGUUUUGGGGAUUUUUAGGGGUUUUCCAUGUACAUUCAUAGAGCCUGGUCAUUCCAUGUACAUUCAUAGAGCCUGGUCAGCAGCGAGGAGUCCUUGUUGCGUAUGGACGGAAGGCUCCCUGGCACCCAGAUGUCUCCCUUCGUCCUGGCUGACACAGAGCAUGGUGGUCAUCUGCUCUUCAUGUCCAGCAGGCUCAGAAAGAACUCGGAGUUCCCCUCGCACCCUUGGGCCAAGCUUUUCAAGUCCGAGUGCCAGGACUGGAUGAGCUGGGGUUUGUGUGUCUGCUGGCGGCACAGUGGGUGUGCACAAGACCACCAUUUGGGUAUCUAACAAACACAGGCUCACAAAAGGGAUUUUGGCAUAUCUGACAAAGCUUUUUGUCUGAGAGUUGGAUUGAGCUUCCUUUCAACUUCAUCUGCAAGAAGAAACCAAGACUGAGAAUGCUGUCAUGUGUUAAGUAUAUUUAAAGUGGCUACGUUCUAGUUUUGCAGAGUUGACAUGCAUUACUCCAUGGGUUAUUAUUAUGAUGAGGAUUUCUUUAAUAUCAACUUCUUGAAAUGAAAUGCUAAAGGUGUAAAUAAAACCAUCCUUAGUAACUGGACAAGGAAGAAAGUUACACAAUUGCUUUUCUUAUUUCACAAAAGUAAUUGUUGCUUGUCUGGCUGAGGCAUUUCUACUUAAGAUCCUCUCUCCAACAUUCUCUGGCUCUGAUCAUUUCAAGCAAGGCCUGUUAGAAAGUCAUGAAUGUUAAUGCUGAAUGAGACCAUAUAAUAGUGUAACUCCAGGGUUCUCUCAUUUGCAAAUAAGAAAAGUAAAGCACAAACAAAUAAGGGAUGUAGUCAAAGUUACACAGCUAACAAGUGGCAUAUUCCUGGUUGGUCCUGGGAGACACCCUUCCGUUUCCUUAGAGGUAACUGGUGAAACUGAGUCUUAAUGCCAUCGGUCCCUGUCUGAUCAACAGGACUUGAGUUCUGAAAGUUAUAAAGUUUUUCUACACAAUUCACUCGUGUCAACC